rnacentral:misc_RNA from 1 species
AAAAGUUCAUGGUGCCUAAAACAGUUCCUUAUGAUGGAUAUGGGAAUCUCUAAGAUCAUGUAAUUAAUUACAAAAUUUUCAUGGAGCUACAAACUCACUCUGAUGCAUCUAAAGCGAUUGGCUGUGGCACACACAGCAUGCCAUGUGGUAAUAACACACAGUCACACAUAUGGAGCUCUAGCUCCAUCUAAAGUGGCUUGCUCUUCAUUGGCAUCCAA